AUCUAGCAGCCAGUUCCAUGCUCAGUUUCUUGAAGCAUGAGAUUCCAGGCCCCUAAUAUGGCAUGUGACUGUGGGCAGUACAGAGGCCUCAAUUCUCCCAUCUGAACCAUGGGGAAGGUCCCCCCGCCCUGAAUCCCCUACAGGGCUGAGAGGAGGGCUCUGGAAACCUUGAAAAGGACUUUGUAGACUCUGAGCUGGGCACCCUCAAAGGCUUGGUUAGGAGGGAGACAAGAGAAAGAAUUAAUCCACUUCCCACCAAGGAAGCCAAGAGCUGAAGGAGAAAUGGUCCGUGUCCUCCUCCAGGGCCUGCCCCUCAGCAUGGUUCCUCCCUUUGUUAGGAGGGUUAAGAACUUGGCCAAGUCUCAGCUCCACUCAUCUCUGGCUGUAUGUUCUUUGUACUUCCCCUCUCUGAGUGUCGGGCUUCUCAACUGUGAAAUGGGGGUGAUAAUGAUAACAGCCUUACCAGGACUGUAGUAAGGACAAGCCUUGGCCCAUUGGUUCAUUGUCUUAGUCUGCUCCUGUUGUUAUAACAAAAUACCUCAGACUCAGUAAUAUAUAAACAACAGAAAUAUGUUGCUCAUAGUUCUAGAGGCUGAGAAAUCCAAGAACAAGGUGUCAGUAGAUUGGGUGUCAAUGAGGGCCUGUUCCUCAUAGAUGACGUCUUCUAUGUCUUUACAUGGUAGAAGGGGUGAACAAACUCCCUCAGGCUUCUUUUAUAAGGGCACUAAUCCCAUUUAUAAGGAUGGAGCUUCAUGAAGUGAUCGCCCCCAAAAGUCCCACCUCUUAAUACUACCACAUUGCAGAUUACGUUUCAAUAUAUAAAUUGGAGGAGACACAUUGAGACACAUGGAUAUUGGUUGAAUAAUUAUCUUUCUUUUUUCUUUUUUUUUUUUUGAGACAGAGUCUUACUCUGUUGCCUAGACUGGAGUGCAAUGGCACGAUCUUGGCUCACUGCAACCUCUACCUCCUGGAUUCAAGUGAUUCCUCUGUCUCAGCCUCCCAAGUGGCUGGGAUUACAGAUGCAUGCCACCAUGCCUGGCUAAUUUUUGCAUUACUAGUAGAGGCAGGGUUUCACCAUGUUGGCCAGGCUGGUCUCAAACUCCUGACCUCAAGUGAUCCGCCCACCUCGGCCUCCCAAAGAGCUGGGAUUACAGGCGUGAGCCACCAUGCCUGCCCUGAAUAAUUAUCUUUUGACACCUGGUCUGCAAUUCUCAUGGAGUUUCCGGUCUGGAAGAAGAGUCUGUAUGUAAUGUGUUUGGCACAGGUAGGUGCCCAAUGGGUGGGUAGAUGGAUGGAUGGAUGGAUGGGUGGAUGGAUGAGAUGAGUGACUUACUGCAGGUCUCACAGUUAUAAAGUAACUCUUCCUGAUAGCUCACACUGGCCACCAAAGACACAUUAAGCACUGAUUAGAGAGGUACUCCAUGGACCAAAUUACUUGAGCAAAGUCUUAGAAUUAGGAAUUAUUGCAGCAUGGAUAAGAGGCAUUCAUUUUAUGUUCUCUUUUAGUAUUUUUCCCAACAAGAUCCUGAGAAGGAGGAUCUGGAUGGAGGUUCUGCCAGAGCCCCCUGGAGCAGAGCCAGGAAGUUGAGUAGGGAGUAGCGCCCCACAGCCCAUAUGAGCAGGCAGGAGCAGGCCAAGCCUGAGGGUCGGGCCUCAGAGGCCUGGCCUGGCCGUAUUUAGUUUUCAAGGCACUGGAAGGCUUCUCACCUCCUCUGCUGUCCAGGCACAGAAGCAAGGCCACCCACAGUUGCUGAGUCAGGGAGGCCCCUAGGGCAGGAACAGAGGCCCCACAGUGGGGUAACUUGAACACAGUGGUUCAGAGCCUGGUCUCUGUCAAGAAGAUAUGGUGCUGGGAACAGUGGUGUGUCCCUGUGGUUCGCGCUCCUCGGAAGGCUGAGGCAGGAGGAUAAGCCUAGGGAUUCUUGAGCCCAAGAGUUCUAGGCUGUAGUGUACUAUAUUGAUCGAGUGUCUGUGCUAAGUUCAGCUUCAAUAUGGUGACCUCCUGUAAGCAGGGGUGUCUAAGGAGGGGUGAACAGGCCCAAGAUGAAAAUGGAGCAGGUCAAAACUGUGCUGAUCAGUGGUGGGAUUGUGACUGUGAAUAGCCACUGCAUUCCACCCUAGACAACAUAGUGAGACUCUGUCUCUAAAAGUAAAUAAAUAGGCUGUGCGCAGUGGGCUCACGCCUGUAAUCCCAGCACUUUAGGAGGCCAAGGCAGGCGGAUCACUUGAGGUCAGGAGUUCAAGACCAGCCUGGCCGAUAUGGCGAAACCCUGUCUUUACUAAGAAUAUAAAAAUUAGCUGGUCAUGAUGUCAUGUGCCUGUGGUCCCAGCUACUCAGGAGGCUAAGGCAGGAGAAUCACUUGAACCCGGGAGGCAGAGGUUGCAGUGAGCUGAGAUCACAUCACUGCACUGCAGCCUGGGCAAUGAGUGAGACCCUAUCUCAAAAAAAAAAUUAAUUAAAUUAAAUUUAAAAAUGUAAAUAAAUAAGUAAAUAAAUAAAUAAAAGCUGUGGGUUCAAAUCCUGCUCAACAACCAAUAGCUGUGUGCCUGGCCUACAUAUCACCUAUCAGAGCCUUUGUUUUCUUUAUUUGUAAAAACAACAACAAAAAUGGCGGUAAAAACAAGCACCAUUACUGAGUUGGUUAUGUACAAGCCUCUGCUAAGCACCUUACCUGCAUUAUCUUAUUUAAUUGUCAUCACAAUAAACAAGUAUUAUUAUUGUCCUCCUGAAACAAAAUACAUGAGAACGGUGUCUCUCAUCCAUGCUGCCGUAAUUUCUAACCCAAGCCGCUGCUCAUGCAGUCCCAUCUACC
rnacentral:lncRNA from 10 species